GGGUAUGCGAGGGCCUAUGCUGCAUCCACAUUUCAAGCCCAAAGGGCCUUUCAUGUGACGGGGAGUGAUAGAGUAUAUAACAUAUUCUUGGGCCUCAACCAUCAACUUAAGCUUCUGGUUGAGAUGGUCCACUAACAAAAAGUAAACAGACCCUUAGUCGAAAUUAAUUAGGAAUAAGAAAAUAUGGAACACUUGUGUCCUAAUGUCCUAUAGGCUAUAGGCUAUAGGCUAUAGGCUAUAGACCUAUAGGCAGACACAAAAUAAAGGGGCAAAAUGGAUUAAAGUGGGCAGGGUCGGUGUUGAAAAAUGGUGGGCCUGUUAUCGAAGCUCAUGUAUUACUUUCAUCUUUGGCCAACACCAAACCCAUGAAAUAAAAAAAAAAUAAAAAAAAUAUGGCACAGACACAGACACAGACACAGUAUUACUGGAAGAAUCUGAUAUCCACUUCUUUCUCGUCUCCAAUUUGUGGUUUCGAACCUACCCGGAUUACAAUUGGCAGCACGUCUCAUCUCCGAAACCAUCGCCCUGUAAACAUCUGCUGCUCUUACUCAAAUUCAAACUCAAUUUCAAACCCAAAUUCAAAUACAAAUACAAAUUUGAAGAAGCUGUGCUUGAGAUGCAAUACUCUGUAUGAUCCUCGUCUUAAUUCUCCUACUGCUUGUUCGUUUCACGGUCACAUCACCGGGGAAAAGGGAUUAUUUUCACUUGCUCCACCUCACCAGGGUAUAGACGGAGAAUGGACUGACGGCUCCGGCGUAAUUGUCUACAAGUGGAAUGAGGUAAACAACCGGCCUAAUUAACACUGGUAGCGCAAACUGGAAAAAAAGAUGGAGCUGUUGUUCCGAGUAUGAUGAAAAUGCACCACCUUGUCAACACGGAUAUCAUGUCUCUUAUGAUGAUGGUUUCACUAUGUAUUAACUAGAUUUAUGUCUAUUUCACAUACAAGACACAGACUCAUGUUGACAUCUCACAAUAGUGAACCUUAGCUUGUACACACUUAUUCUGAGUUUAAAAUGGAAUAUUGCGAGCUCCAUUUCAAUCACUUCUUGAAAUGCUUGAGCUUUCGUUACUUCUUUACAUUGCUUAUUACUUGUAUUUGACUGAUCGGUGUAUGAUCAGAAAUCACUAGGACUAGAAAAUUUGUUUUAUACUUCGUAUAUAUGGAUUAUGUUUAUCUAAGUCUGUAAAAUUGCCUUGUUCCUGAGUCCAAUUUCAUGAAACUAUUACAGAUUGA